rnacentral:lncRNA from 1 species
AGGGCGCGCCAGUCAAUCAAUCAACAUCACAAGCGUAAUGAUAAAAUGGAGUCUUAUAUCUGUGAGCAGUUUGUACACAAAAUCUAAUUAGUUUCAUGUAUAUAAUCAGUCGUAGACGUAAAAAUAAGUUACCGAAAGUCGAAUCAAUUAUAAUUACUGCCAUUAAAUAGUUCGGGAAAGUGUGGAAACAGUGUAAAAGUGAAAAUCGGAUUUUGGAUUUGCAGCAGUGCCUGACUGAUACACACAAUAUCAACGGUGUUCAUGGUUUUUUUACCUUUAUACCUGAAAACAGGAAGUCUGUUGAGCCUAGUAAUUAUUUCUUGUGAAAAAUGAAAGCAAAAGAUCCUUAUGUUUGAUGAAACAUUGUUAUAUAGAGCCAAGAGGGAUGUUUCUUAAAUUUUCUAAAUUCUCUAAAUCUCGAUAUCCUCUUCAUCAUGAAAAUAGAAAACAGAAAAUUGGUUUUAACACAUUUGCUGCCACUGAUGUCAAAAUGAGUUUUGUGCUACUUAAGUCAGGUUCCACAACAUGUGGAAUUAAAUUAAGUUAUUUUCGUAUUAUCUCCAUACAGAAGUGACUGAAUAUAAGUGGCAGUGAAUGUGUUACGAUGUUUUAGUCAAAUGAAAACCCAAUGGAGAGCUUAGACUGAGUAUAGAACUGAAGUUAUUUCCUUCUGACUUGUUAUAUUGACUACUUCGACCCCUGCAUAGAAUAACGAUGUAACUAACAUCUUUGGCGAUUUUGAGUUACAGUUUUCUUCUUGUACAGCUUUUUAUGCUCUAUAUGCCAAUAUUAUCGGUGUGGCUGUAACUGCAUUUAUAAGAAAGAUUCUGAAUGGAGUUAUACCGUAACUGUAAAAUUAUUUGAAUUAUUUGUAGAAUAACAUAGUAGACACAGAUACAAUGUAUCAAAAUAAUUCUACUCAUAUUUCAAAAAUUACUGUUACAAUUUUAUUCGCCUCACUGGCUGAAAUAGGUGAUGCAGUUACAAGAUUAUCCGAUGAACUUUAUAUCUAAGUAUAUCAAAAACUGUAACUGCCACAGUUCAAAAACCUAUCCUCUAAUCGAAAAGAGUAGACUUUAUUUGAAAAAAGGAGUUCAACAUUUAUAUAAUUACUUCUUGUACUAAAAAAUGUCAGAUCUUGCAUAUAAACAAAGAACUUAAAGAAAUUGGUAUUUUUUUUAUCAUUUCUGAAGAAUAUCAUAAAGGCUGGUUACAACGUUAUUUUUUGCAGGGGUCGAUAUUUUAUUUUGAAAUAAACCACAAAAAUUAUAAUUAAAAUCACUUAUAUAUUUUAUCGAUGUUUUUAUUACCGUCUCAAAUACAUUUUCAAAAUUAUUUCCAGA